rnacentral:rRNA from 1 species
CGCAUCUGUGCAUGCAGCAUAUCAAUAAGCGGAGGAAAAGAAACUAACAAGGAUUCCCCUAGUAACGGCGAGUGAAGCGGGAAGAGCUCAAAUUUGAAAUCUUAAAGGGUUUCCCUUUACGAAUUGUAGUUUAAAGAAGUGUUUUCUGUUGAGGUUUUGGUAAAAGUUCUUUGGAAUAGGACAUCAUAGAGGGUGAGAAUCCCGUAUUUGACCUUUACUUUCAACUUUGUGAUACACUUUCAAAGAGUCGGAUUGUUUGGGAAUGCAGUCCAAAAUGGGUGGUAAAUUUCAUCUAAAGCUAAAUAUUGGCGAGAGACCGAUAGCGAACAAGUACCGUGAGGGAAAGAUGAAAAGAACUUUGAAAAGAGAGUUAAACAGUACGUGAAAUUGUCAAAAGGGAAGCGUUUGACACCAGUGUUGUUUUUCUGAAAAUCAAUUAAAGAACUGUUUAUGCUAAGCUGUUUAGACUUUAUCAGCUAACUGUUUAGUUUUGAGCUUUUCUUUAAUGCACUUUUCAGUUAACAAGUCAACAUCAAUUUCUUUUGCUGUAAAAAAGCUUGAGGAAGGUGGCUUGAGAUUCGUCUUAAGUGUUUAUAGCCUCUUGCCUAUGCAGUCGGAGAGAUUGAGGUCUGCAGCGUAGAUCCUUCGGGGCUAAAUGCAUUUGUGCUAAGUUAUAGCAUUUUAUAGACAACUUGUUGACUAUGAUUUGUCUUGUAGCUUACUCGCUUAUGUUAUUUUACCUACGCUUAGGAUGUUGAAUCUGUGCGAGACUAC